CAUCCAAAAACUUUGGGAUCCAAAGUAGUAGGCAGCAACAGGAGCUGCUGGCAGUGGCCAUCCUGUAGAUAGCCAGGUGGUAGCAUCCUUUUGAAAUAUUUUCUUCCUUUAUUAAAUGAUUUUACUCCCACAUUCUACAAAUAUAUGUAUCUUCAAUUCUACAUUCCCUAUAUUUGGGAAUUGGAACAUAGGUAUCUGAGGGUACAAUAAUAGUUUCUAAUUAUUUUUCCUCCUGAGAAAUUCUUGGUAUCUUCCUCUUUUUGCUUUCCCUAUGCCCAAACCCUCUCAAUUCUUAAACACUCUUCACCAAUCUAAGGUUAUUUUGACAGACUUGCAUGCUGUAACAAGAUGUUUCCUCCUCUUGUCAAACCCAUGUGUUUUUCAUCCUGAGCAAUGGCAUUUUAAAAAAUUAUGUUCUUCAACAUUAUUUGUAAGGUCAGUGUUUCACUUCCCUAUUCUUCUUUCUAUGCCAGAAUUCACAAAUGCAGAAAGAGUUUUGUUGUUGUUU
rnacentral:lncRNA from 10 species